rnacentral:rRNA from 1 species
UACGAAGGGGGCUAGCGUUGCUCGGAAUCACUGGGCGUAAAGCGCACGUAGGCGGAUUGCUAAGUCAGGGGUGAAAUCCUGGAGCUCAACUCCAGAACUGCCCUUGAUACUGGCGGUCUCGAGUCCGGGAGAGGUGAGUGGAACUGCGAGUGUAGAGGUGAAAUUCGUAGAUAUUCGCAAGAACACCAGUGGCGAAGGCGGCUCACUGGCCCGGUACUGACGCUGAGGCGCGAAAGCUAGGGGAGCAAACAGGG